UACGUAGGGUGCAAGCGUUAAUCGGAAUUACUGGGCGUAAAGCGUGCGCAGGCGGUUUUGUAAGUCUGUCGUGAAAUCCCCGGGAUCAACCUGGGAAUUGCGAUGGAGACUGCAAGGCUAGAAUCUGGCAGAGGGGGGUAGAAUUCCACGUGUAGCAGUGAAAUGCGUAGAGAUGUGGAGGAACACCGAUGGCGAAGGCAGCCCCCUGGGUCAAGAUUGACGCUCAUGCACGAAAGCGUGGGGAGCAAACAGG
rnacentral:rRNA from 1 species